rnacentral:lncRNA from 1 species
AUCCAAUCUUUGAAAAUAUUCAGACAGUAAACACAGCAUGAUACUUUGCUAGUGUCUUCCUUUCUUGGAAUUCCUUUUAUUUAUUCUUAAAUGAAAAGUGUUGCAUACUCUAACCAAAUUGAGUGUGCCCAUUUGUCUACAUAAAAUAUAGACACAUUUUCAUUCUGAAUUUCUCUCCUUUUAAAAUAAAUUUUUGACUAUAUAUAUUUUUUCUAAAUGGCAUUCAUAUUUUCCAAGCUCUGGUGACUCAAACAAGUCCAAGUGUGUUUUAUUUCCACACAAAGUGACAGAUCUGAAAAUCUCUUAACACAUCAAUUUUAACACUAAAUAAUGGCCCUUUAUUGUUUAAAAUGUUGAAUCUGUAUAAUAUCAAGUCCAUUUCUCAAGAGAGUUUUAAAUAAAUUUUCUGUUGUGUUUGUAGUAUUGCUGAGUAUGUUUGCUAGUUAAGCACUGGUUUAAAUUGUUUUAGAUAUAUGCAUAUCAGUGUUUGUUAUCAGGGAAAACAUUCUCUCUUAAUUCUUCCUGGUAUUACCCCAGCAGAAGCCAGAUGAAGAAAGCAUCUCAGCUUCAUCUGGAAUGCAUGAGAUAGUGUCUCAUUUGGAAAGUACUGUUGCACAAAGUAAUGGUCUUAUCUCCAAUUGCAAUGACUUCAUAUCUAUAAACAUGGUGGUGUCUAAAGAGUGAUAUGAAAUCUAUAUGUAACCCAUUACUGCCAUUAUUUUUAACAGAGUGAUUCCGAGCAAGAUAAUGAGGAGUGCACUUGUUGUCUAUUUGGUGCAUUCCAUUCAAUCACAAAGAAUAAAAUAAAAGGAUAUGUAAAAGGUAAGAUACACAUAGGAUACAAAAUAUAAUAGAGAGAGUAUUGCCAAAAAAUAUGAGCACUAGCAUAGAAUAACUGUCAAAGAAUAUGUCUGUUAAAUAGCUAGCAAGGAAAAAGGAAGAUAAGAAGUGGCAUCACAUUAGGUUUCAUUCACAGGUUAAAUUGGGAGUAUUGCUAAAUGAAUACAAUUGUGAGUUGCAUUUAAGACAUGCUUCUAUCACAGGGAAAUCUGAAAUAAGGAAAAAUAAAGAAUAAGAUGUAAUGAAGACUAAGAAAGAUAGUGAGUACAUGCAAUCAAAAAGAAAAAACGGAAUAAGUUUUACCAAGGAGAGGGUGGGAAAUUCAAGCCACAUAUGAGAAGGGUAAAGAGCAGGGUUUUCAAAAUGUGGGAAGAAUUUGUAAGUUUCAGAUUACAAAGAUGAAUGAAGGGGAGAGUACAUCUUUCUGAACCUUCAUGACUUAUUCACACUUGGAAAUGAAUUGAGGAGUAUACACUUGAUGCCACAAAGCUAAGUUUAUUUACCAUAAAUGAUUAGGCAUGUACAAAAUUUAGUGACAACAUUUUGCUACAUCCUAGGACAAAAACACAGGGAAGAAACAGCAAAUGGAAAAGGCAAAAGAAGUACAAAUAGUUGCGGAGCAUUCCCCAAACCCACAGGUAUCUAAAAUUGAUGUUCGAGGAAGAUUACAGAUUCUUCUAAACUUGACUUUGAAGGGACAUCCUAAGGUAAAAUCCAGAGCUAUAUUCAAAUUAACUCAGAGGAAUUGGAAGCUGACAAAUUUUACAUUGGAACUCUGAAAAUGUAAGGAAUCAUCUCUUGGGGAUCAUGUCCAAAAUCUCAUUCUGACUGAGCAAGUCUUUCCUUCUCCAUGUC